rnacentral:rRNA from 1 species
UACGUAGGGGGCUAGCGUUGUCCGGAAUCAUUGGGCGUAAAGAGCGCGUAGGCGGCUGGAAUAGUCCGGUGUGAAAUCCACAGGCUUAACCUGUGAAUGCCGCUGGAAACUGUCUGGCUAGAGUCCGGAAGGGGCGAGUGGAAUUCCUGGUGUAGCGGUGAAAUGCGCAGAUAUCAGGAGGAACACCAAUGGCGAAGGCGGCUCUCUGGGACGGUACUGACGCUGAGACGCGAAAGCGUGGGGAGCGAACAGG